UACGGAGGGUGCGAGCGUUGUCCGGAAUCACUGGGCGUAAAGGGUGCGUAGGUGGCGGGGUAAGUCAGGUGUGAAAUCUCGAGGCUCAACCUCGAAACUGCACUUGAUACUGCCUUGCUCGAGUACUGGAGAGGAGAUUGGAAUUUACGGUGUAGCAGUGAAAUGCGUAGAUAUCGUAAGGAAGACCAGUGGCGAAGGCGAAUCUCUGGACAGUUACUGACACUGAGGCACGAAAGCGUGGGGAGCAAACAGG
rnacentral:rRNA from 1 species